rnacentral:rRNA from 1 species
UGGGGAAUUUUCCGCAAUGGGCGAAAGCCUGACGGAGCAAUACCGCGUGAGGGAGGAAGGCUCUUGGGUUGUAAACCUCUUUUCUCAGGGAAUAAAAAAAUGAAGGUACCUGAGGAAUAAGCAUCGGCUAACUCCGUGCCAGCAGCCGCGGUAAUACGGAGGAUGCAAGCGUUAUCCGGAAUGAUUGGGCGUAAAGCGUCCGCAGGUGGCACUGUAAGUCUGCUGUUAAAGAGCAAGGCUCAACCUUGUAAAGGCAGUGGAAACUACAGAGCUAGAGUACGUUCGGGGCAGAGGGAAUUCCUGGUGUAGCGGUGAAAUGCGUAGAGAUCAGGAAGAACACCGGUGGCGAAAGCGCUCUGCUAGGCCGUAACUGACACUGAGACGAAGCUUAAAUUU